rnacentral:lncRNA from 14 species
CUCUGAACUGCUUGUGUCGGAUUUUUACCUGUAUUAAUUAGGGCGUAAUUGAGUCUCGCCGAGCGGAGGUAAUCGUCUUAGUGUGCCCGAUCAGCCUGGCUGCGCCCGGGAAGGGGAAACGAAAGUGGUUUAAGUUCUUUAAGAGCCCGCUGGGGUUUCAGCAUCAGAGGCUCUUCUUCCGGAAGAUGUAGGUCACUGCUGGUGACCCACUUCACUGGAUUGACUCCAGAUUGACUCGUGGGAAUAGGACAAGCUCAUCGGUGUAGGCCGUAUAUGCAGUGGUUCUUCUUGCCUUGAACUGAGAAGAACCUGAGCAUCCAUCAUUUCUUGAUAGAUAAUCUAUCCCAUGUUGUUCUUCCUGGGACAAAUGGGAGUUAUGCCCUCAGCACUGGCAAAGAAGUCCUCAUGCUAAGGGCUGGGAGAAUCAGCUGCCACAGGUAAAGAGCUGAGACAUGGGAUUGAAAUCAUACUGAGGAACUAAGAGAAUUGGAAGGAGAGAUGGAAGAGCAGUGAGAUGCUGCCCAGAAAGCCAUUGGGGAGUUAACCAAGAGAGGCUUACAGCCACAGAGAAGCUUAGCAAGAACCAGAUAAAGAAGCUGGAGGAGGCUUUAAACAUGGAUCUUUGAAACAGAAAGAUGUUGUCUCCUUAUCCAUCACCCUCUCUGCCCUAAACACUAAGCUCACCUGCUGUUCCACUGCGAAAAGGACCUUUGCAUCAUCUGUGGGUAGAGUACAUUUGUUCUGUUCAGCCUUGUCAUCAGUAUCAGUGGUGAGUAGGGUUCAAUAUUCACACAGAUAUCCUACCAGGGAAACAUCUCUCAUCCCCAUAGGCAGGUAUCACAGAAGAGCUGGCAGCUGGCAGUCUUCCUAUCAAGUGCAAUUCCUGUCUUCUUGCUACUGGGAACUUAUUCAUUUAUGGCAAUGUGGUAGUUUAAGGCAGAGGCUCAAAUAACAGAUGCUUAUCUAAUCACCCUAAAGCCACUUGUGUAAUACUCCUAUCUUCCUCAAAACCAGUGAGACUGAAGAUAAGGAAGGAAUCAGGGCAGCUCAAGUACUUGUGCCAGCUGUGCAUUCUUGCUGAAGGUAAUGUUGCCAAGGAAUGGGAAGACAAUGGAGUUGUAUGGCUGGGCUCUGAGAGAUGUCAAUCCUGAAAAACUACUAUUUAAUGAACAAACAAACAAACAAACAAAACAUUAUAUCCCCACAAGCAUUGUUAGCAGGGAAGGGGGUUACUUGCGGAGCCUCACUGCCAUCUAGCAUGUGAACAUGGUCUAUAUUUAAUCCUUUGAAACUUCCCAAAUAAGAAUUCUUUUAAUGUGAACUGAAAUCUCUGACCUCCAUAAAAUACAAGGCAAGGUUACAUGUCCCCACUUCCUCCCUGUUGCUGCAACGUAACCUUCAUACUUGUGUGAUUGAAUCAUCAGGUUUCCAAUGUUAACACCCAGCCUCCAGUAGCGUUACUCCAUAGUAGGGAAACAGAACACGUGUCGGACAAAACCUGACAAAGCAACACUUGGAUUUAGGUCAGGCACAGCAAACAGGAGUUACUUGCAUGCUAUACCUGGCUCCCAUUCAAACAUGGAGCCUGAUGAAUUCACACUAGCCCAGGCAUGCAGAACAGUAUCUCCCUUUAUGCUUUCCACAUAGAUUUCUUUUCAGAUGAUACCUUCAGCUCCUCAUUUCAGUGUCCCCACAACUACCAUUCACACAGGCUGCCUGACUGCUGGC